GACGAACGCUGGCGGCGUGCCUAAUACAUGCAAGUGGAACGCUGAAGAGAGGAGCUUGCUCUUCUUGGACGAGUUGCGAACGGGUGAGUAACGCGUAGGUAACCUGCCUUGUAGCGGGGGAUAACUAUUGGAAACGAUAGCUAAUACCGCAUAACAAUAGGUGACACAUGUCAUUUAUUUGAAAGGGGCAAUUGCUCCACUACAAGAUGGACCUGCGUUGUAUUAGCUAGUAGGUGAGGUAACGGCUCACCUAGGCGACGAUACAUAGCCGACCUGAGAGGGUGAUCGGCCACACUGGGACUGAGACACGGCCCAGACUCCUACGGGAGGCAGCAGUAGGGAAUCUUCGGCAAUGGGGGCAACCCUGACCGAGCAACGCCGCGUGAGUGAAGAAGGUUUUCGGAUCGUAAAGCUCUGUUGUAAGUCAAGAACGAGUGUGAGAGUGGAAAGUUCACACUGUGACGGUAGCUUACCAGAAAGGGACGGCUAACUACGUGCCAGCAGCCGCGGUAAUACGUAGGUCCCGAGCGUUGUCCGGAUUUAUUGGGCGUAAAGCGAGCGCAGGCGGUUUGAUAAGUCUGAAGUUAAAGGCUGUGGCUCAACCAUAGUUCGCUUUGGAAACUGUCAAACUUGAGUGCAGAAGGGGAGAGUGGAAUUCCAUGUGUAGCGGUGAAAUGCGUAGAUAUAUGGAGGAACACCGGUGGCGAAAGCGGCUCUCUGGUCUGUAACUGACGCUGAGGCUCGAAAGCGUGGGGAGCGAACAGG
rnacentral:rRNA from 1 species